AUAAGAAAUGCCUUCAGUCUGAGUGAUAAGGGGACCAUAUAAAAAAAUCGAUGCGUGAUGAAAACUUCCCUUUUCCUCGACAGACCAGGACCCUCUAACACACCCCAAUUAACCUGGCUCUGAUGAUUUAGACUAUGAUGAUGCCCCUGAGAUGGACCCCCUGACACACCCCAAUCAACCUGGCUCUGAUGAUUUAGACUGUGAUGAUGCCCCUGAGAUGAACGAAGAAAGGAUUUACCCUGGGGCAUCAGUAACAAAGGGGCAAUGCCUUAUGGCAAUAAUGAUUUUUGUUCUGCGUCAUCACCUGACUGGAACUGCCCUGAUAGACCUACUUGCCUUGCUGAAUUUGUUUGUCCCCAACAUCUAAAUAUCUCCAAAAAGUUUUUGGGUAAUCCAGCCCUGACAGCUGUCUCUCAUUUAUUUUGUGAUGAAUGCCAGAAUUACUUAGGAAAGCAACCCGAAGACACAAAUUGCUCACAUUGUGGAACGUCCAUCAGAGAAAUCAAAUCAAAUGUAUUUAUAUAGCCCUUCUUACAUCAGCUGAUAUCUCAAAGUGCUGUACAGAAACCCAGCCUAAAACCCCAAACAGCAAGCAAUGCAGGUGUAGAAGCAAAACAUUUCUUUUUGUCAAUACCUUUUGAGGGACCUUCUGUGAGAUACACUGGAGAACCAUGGAAUAGAUAUUUUGAGGAAAACAGUGAAGGAAGAAGAAUAUGAAAUCGAGGAUGUCAUGGAUGGAUGUACCAGACAUUACUGAAAGAAAAGAGGCUACCUGCUGAUGAUUUAACAUUAACCUGGAACUGUGAUGAGUACCCAUUUUUAACUCCUCAAAUGACUCAGUUUGGCCUCUUCAAUUUACCAUAAAUGAACUGCCUUACAUACACUGGAAAGAAAGUGUGAUAGUUGCAGGACUUUGGUUUGACCCAGAAAACCCCAGAAUGGACACAUUUUUUAAAACCUUUUAUUGAUGAAUGUUGCGAUUUAGCCCAAAACCCCUUACUUUGGAGAGAUAAGAGUGGGACUCUGAAGAGGACAAAGGUCUUCUCCUUGAUUUGUUCCUUAGAUGCAAUUGCCAGGCCAAUCCUUCAUUACUGUAAGCAAUUCAAUGGUAAAUAUGGAUGUGACUGGUGCUUGCACCCCGGUAAAGUUGUCCCCAAAGGCAGAGGAUAUGUAAGGUCCUAUCCUUACAGUCAACAACUGCAAAUUCAAAGAUCACACAAUCAAUUUAAGGAUAAUGCGUUUCACUCUGCUCGCACUGACAUUCCGCAAAAUGGUGUAAAGCGGUUGUCAACACUGUUUUUGCUUCCAUUGUUCAACAUUGUGUUUGGUUUUGUGCCUGACUACAUGCAUUCUGUUCUCCUCGGCAUAACUCGACMACUUCUGUCUCUUUGGUUGGACACGUGCAACUGUUUGAAUCCAUUGUACAUAGGUCGACAAAUUGCAGAAUCAGACUCUCGACUGCUAAAUCUCUUGCCAACAAAGGAAAUCACAAGAAUACCGCGAUCACUGCAUAUAAGAACAUUUUGGAAAGCAUCGGUGUGUUGUGCAUUUCUUCUGUUUUAUUCAAUCAUUGUUCUGCCUGGCAUCCUUCCGGUCCCCCAAAAAAUUAUACUUACAUUCAGCAUGCAUAUUUUGCUUCAAGGAUCUAUUUGACAGCGUGGCCUUAGAUUAGCUCACAUUUCUUUAGACCUCUUAGUCAAGAAAAUGGAAGAAUUAUAUGGACAAGAAAAUGUUUCUUUCAAUUGUCAUCAGCUAAUCCACCUUACUGAUAGUGUACUGAACUGGGGGCCUCUCUGGGAAACGUCAUCUUUUACAUUUGAGGGUAACAAUGGAAGUUUGAAAUCUCUUUUCCAUGGGACGCAGUGUGUUCCACAACAAAUUUGCCAGCUUUUCCUUCUUUGGCGAGACAUUCCCAAACGUCUUAGUGUUUUAGGAUUUCACCCAGAGUCAGUGUUCGGUAUAUUCCUUUCAAAGCUUGGAGACAAAAAACUCUAAACUCUUGGCAAAUCUGUACCUCGUCACCUCACAGCUUCUGUAAAACUUGCUGUAGAAGAACUACCCAGCCUGUGGAGUCAUACGGCCGAUUCGUUUAUGACCAGAUUGUUUAUCACACAACUAACUACAAAAUCUCAGAAAAAAAGUAUAAUACCUCAUUCGUGUUCAAAAAGGAAUGUUGUGCACAACUGCAGUUAUUUUUCAUUGUUAGACUGAAUUGCAUUUGUCAAACAAACUGUUUAUGUCAACCUAUUCCCAUUGUUGUGGUUAACCAUAUGUAUUUCAAGCUGACAGUUUGUUCAUCAACCGCAAUCUAGGCAUCUCAUCCCAAAAAAUGUGUGUGAAAGUUGAGAGGUCGAGACAAAAAAAGCUUUUUCUUUGGAAAUUAUCAAGUGUAAAUGUAUUUAUGUGGAUGGCUGGCUUGUCCCUCUGAGAGAGAUUAGUUAUGGGUGUAUUUAGAGAGCUGGUUGAUGUUAUUGAGCUGAUUGAUGAGAGCUGAUUCUCAUUUGCAAUGGUGACCUGGCCAAGAAAAGCAUCAACAUCAUUUAAUUCAGGUCCGUCCAGUGUGAGGAUAUGUUAGGGAAGUGCAGAUUGAAGUUAAAACGCAUGCAUUUAGUUUCACUGGAAUUGAGCAAUAGUUGGAGUCUUGGAGAUCACAGAAUGUGUGUUAUAUGUCAUUGAAUCUGUGUGAUUCUAAUAGUAUUACCCAUUGAUAACUUAUCAGGGACAUACAUCAGUGAUGCAAGGGUCAUCGCUUAUAUAUUGUAUUGUACAUGUUUUUUUUUUUUAUUAAAAUAAAUUAACAUUAAUAUUACAGGUCUGUUUUUACUAAGAUGCUAAAUGUUU